ensembl:lncRNA
CAUGUGAGACCUUUUUGAGUAUUCAGUUUGAUAUUUUAGUUUGUGUGACAAAAUUAUUAUUAGUGAACUUAUUUGUAUUGAAUUGUCCCAAAUUAGGAAAUUGUAAUUUGUUUCUGAGUGUGUGCCCCCUAUAGGUAAGGCACUAAUUGUCUAUAGCAUAAAGGUGUGCCAGGCCAAGGAGAGUGGAGAGUUCCGGCCUGCGAAUACCAUUAUUGACCGUGAGCAGAACGUGCCUACAGGACUUGAACCUGUCAUGAACCUGACGGGACCGUGGCGAGGAAACGCAACUGAGCUGAACCAACAAACAAAGAAACAAAGACAAAACUUCAAUGCUUUAAUUUACAUCUGUUAGAAAUAAACAAAGUCAAGUUCAUUAUAGCCACGUCUCAUGGACUCUACUUUCACGCGUUCAACAAGGCAAACACCGGAACUCACAAGAAGUGGUAAAACAAUUGACAAGUUUUAGCCAUUACAAUAGUCAAUAAUGACGCAACUUUGGACCUUUUGAUGGAUCAUUACUGGAUACAAUUGGAUUACCCUUGGAACAAGGCAACCCUUGGAUUACUACGAACCUUUCACUGAGAAGCAGCAGCGCGCCAUGCGCAACAAACAAACCAAUCAAUUAACUUGAUCGGAGGUAGUUUUGCUACACAAGUUGACGUGAAGCCGAUUCAGCGGACGUCAGAGGAAACCAUGACACGAGACCAACCAAGAGCAAACCAAAACAUGGUGCCAGAUAAAGCAUGUCUCUUCUGCAAUGAAUGGAGUCUGCUUUGGAUGUCUGGCAAAGGCUGGACACAUCAGCAAGGACUGUGGGAAACGUCUCCAGUGCACCAUCUGCAACAAGCAGCAUCCAAGUGCCUUGCAUAUCAAAGAGACCACACUGAAGAGCCUGCAGGUGUCUGUCAAAGCUGAUGAACAUACUGGGGCCGAUCCUGGCAGCUCUGCUACUUUUUGCACAGAAAAUCUCCUGAACAAGCUGAACAUCAGAGGAAAAGGACUAACAUCCUCUUAAGGACAAUGAACCAAGAACAAUCUGUGAUUACCUACAUGGCAAAUGGAAUAGAGGUUAGUGCAUUGAACGAAAACAAUUUUAUUGCACUCCCUGAGGUGUACACACAAAAGAGUAUGCCUGUAGACACCGACAGCAUUCUAAAGACAGAAGAGCUAGCUAGGUGGCCUUACUUGAGUGAGAUCCAGAUCCCGAAAAUCAAGGCUGAAGUGGAGCUGUUGAUUGGCAACAAUGCUCCCAAAGCAAUUGAACCAUGGGAAAUAAUAAAUAGUCGUGAAAAUGGGCCAUAUGCUGUGAAGACCCUAUUGGGAUGGGUUGUUAAUGGUCCUCUAGAUGACAGUGUCGUGACAGACAGCAGUGGGCAUCAGAAAGUUACUGUCAACAGAACAUCAGUUGCAAAGCUGGAAGAUUUGAUUGUACAACAGUACAAUCAUCAGUUCAAUGAGAAAUUAGAUGACAAAGAAAUGUCAAUAGAGGAUAAAAGAUUGAUCAAAAUUGCAGAGCAGCGCCUAAUAGGCCUGAAAAGGAAGUUAAAAAGAAAUGAAACAUUCAGAAAUGAGUACACAGAGUUUAUGGAGGAUGUGAUCAGCAAUGGACAUGCUGAAGUGGUGCCACAAGUUGAACUUGAAAGAGAAGACGGCAAGUCUCUUGAAACAGAAAAUGAAGCCGUCGACCUGGUGAGAGACCUUACCUGUGUUUGCCACAAGGGAGGAUUCCAUCUAACCAAAUGGGUGAGUAACAGUCGCACUGUACUGUCUCAUAUCCCCAAAGAAGACCGAGCGACUGAAAUGAAAGAACUUCAUUUGGACAGGGACAAACUCCCUACAGAAAGAGCCCAUCCUGCUUUUCCCCCUGGACUAUUUCAGAAGUCAGACACGUACAUCAGAUGGCGCUGGAAACAAGUUCAGUUUCUUUCCGAUCUCUUUUGGAAGAGAUGGACCAAAGAAUACCUACCCCUGUUACAGGAAAGACAAAAAUGGACUACAGUCAGGAAAGGAUACCAAGUAGAUGACAUUGUGAUGGUAGUGGACAGUUCAGCCCCUCGUGGGUCUUGGAACCUUGGAAGAAUAAUAGAAGUCAAACCAGAUUCCAGAGGUUUGAUGAGGACAGUGAAAAUUAUUACGAAGACUGGCGUGUUUGAGAGGCCAAUAACCAAGCUCUGUCUGCUUCUGGAAGGAGCAGAAAAGAUGACCACAAAGUCAUCGGCCAGAGAUAAGUAGUACCUACUCAUGUUAUGAUUUAAGUUAAUGGUAACAAUAAACUACAAAGAAUUUAGGCUCCUUUAUGAUUUGAGUAUUGUAAUAGUUGCCCAUGCACACUAUUAGGGCCGGUGUGUAGGAGCCAUGUGAGACCUUUUGAGUAUUCAGUUUGAUAUUUUAGUUUGUGUGACAAAAUUAUUAUUAGUGAACUUAUUUGUAUUGAAUUGUCCCAAAUUAGGAAAUUGUAAUUUGUUUCUGAGUGUGUGCCCC